UCCAAGAGCCAGACAUUAAUACAGAU
rnacentral:piRNA from 1 species